rnacentral:lncRNA from 1 species
GUGGCUUCUGUCUGGGAUUAGGCAGCAGUGAAGAUGGAGACAAGGACUAGGUGGCCGUGGACACGCUCUCCUAGCCAGCCUCGCUCCUGCCUGUGCACCUGAGCAACGACAUCGACUCCAUGCUGACUGGCACCAGACAGGGAAUGAAAGCUCAGGAGUGAUGGAGAACUGGGCCAGCAAGCCAGCUCCCUCUGCCGCGCUCGCCUGGGCCGCUCCUGACUAGAUGUGCUCUCGUGCUGGGCAUCCUGUUGAGGUGGUCACACUGCCACACUGCUCUGGCACAUGAGUGUUGGAGGACCUGUGCACCUCAGGCCGUAGGUCUGUCUGCUGUGUGGAUGUCCACCUCACCACACCUGUGCCUCCAGUCUGGGCAUGGUGCCACAGAAGGGCGCACCAGGGGAAUGCUCAUAAGUGAGCCAUAUUUAUUGUCUUUAAGAAAAUCACUAAUGCUCUUUGACUGCACUGUGGGUGAGUGUUCUGAGCUCCCAGUAUUGUAGAGCAUCGUAAAUUAUCCGAGGAAAAGAUGGCGGGCCAAGCUGGUGCUGUCC